UACGUAUGGAGCAAGCGUUAUCCGGAUUUACUGGGUGUAAAGGGAGCGUAGACGGCAUGGCAAGUCUGAUGUGAAAGCCCGGGGCUCAACCCCGGAACUGCAUUGGAAACUGUCGUGCUAGAGUGCAGGAGAGGUAAGCGGAAUUCCUAGUGUAGCGGUGAAAUGCGUAGAUAUUAGGAGGAACACCAGUGGCGAAGGCGGCUUACUGGACUGUAACUGACGUUGAGGCUCGAAAGCGUGGGGAGCAA
rnacentral:rRNA from 1 species